UGGGUCGUAGCUCAAUCGGAAGAGCGCCCGCCUUCUAAGCGGAGGGUUGUGGGUUCGACUCCCACCGACCCGA
rnacentral:tRNA from 1 species